UACGUAGGGGGCAAGCGUUGUCCGGAAUCACUGGGCGUAAAGGGCGCGUAGGCGGCCUGAUCAGUCGGGGGUGAAAGCCUGUGGCUCAACCACAGAAUGGCCUCGAUACUGUCGGGCUUGAGACCGGAAGAGGUAAGUGGAACUGCGAGUGUAGAGGUGAAAUUCGUAGAUAUUCGCAAGAACACCAGUGGCGAAGGCGGCUUACUGGUCCGGAUCUGACGCUGAGGCGCGAAAGCGUGGGGAGCAAACAGG
rnacentral:rRNA from 1 species